rnacentral:rRNA from 1 species
GAUGAACGCUGGCGGCGUGCUUAACACAUGCAAGUCGAACGGUGAACGAGGGAGCUUGCUCCCUCCGGAUCAGUGGCGAACGGGUGAGUAACACGUGAGCAACCUGCCCUGGACUCUGGGAUAACCCCGAGAAAUCGGAGCUAAUACCGGAUAGGACCUUCUCCCGCAUGGGGGUUGGUGGAAAGUUUUUCGGUUUGGGAUGGACUCGCGGCCUAUCAGCUUGUUGGUGAGGUAAUGGCUCACCAAGGCGUCGACGGGUAGCCGGCCUGAGAGGGUGACCGGCCACACUGGGACUGAGACACGGCCCAGACUCCUACGGGAGGCAGCAGUGGGGAAUAUUGCACAAUGGGCGCAAACCUGAUGCAGCAACGCCGCGUGCGGGAUGACGGCCUUCGGGUUGUAAACCGCUUUUAGUAAGGAAGAAGGGGCUUCGGCCUUGACGGUACUUGCAGAAAAAGGACCGGCUAACUACGUGCCAGCAGCCGCCGUAAAAC